rnacentral:tRNA from 1 species
UCCGGAGUAGCUCAACCGGCAGAGCGGGUGGCUGUUAACCACUAGGUUGGGGGUUCGAGUCCCUCCUCCGGAGCCA